rnacentral:antisense_RNA from 1 species
CUAACAUACACGGCUCUUUGACCCUGAAUAAGCUUGCAAUAUAUCGCAAAAUCUAUUUACUUGACCUAAAAUUUCCUCCAAUGUCAUAUUAAAGUACCUAUAAUAGACAUCGCCAACAUUUGAAGAAAAUAACUUUAAAGGGUCCAAAGCACCGUCUGUAGCAAUUACUGUAGUUAAAUACUCUAAAGUUGAUGCAACUGCUAUCAUAUCAUUAACUUGAUCAUUAUUGCCAAAACAAUAAUGUGGCAAAAUAUGGCUUAGACUAACUAACUCCUCAAGCUCAGAUUUUGAUUUCUCUUUAUUCAACUGAAAUCCUGAGCCUUCGGAAUUUAAACUUGUAACAUCAUUAUAUGCAUUUAUUACUUUAAUAUCUUGCCCAAAUAAAAACUUCACCCCUCUAAUUCUUCUGUUAUCACCAACAUUUAAAAUAAUAUUCUUGCUUGACAGACCACAAAACAUUGGGAAACAAACAGUCUUAAACUUACUAUAAUGCUUACAUUCUGGAUUUGGAAUCCAAAUUGACUUAAAUGUCUUCACAACAAAACCAACUAGAAUUAUUAACUCAAUCUGAUAAUUCUUCUUUAUUGAAGAAAAACCCAUUCCUGACAAUCCUAAAUCUUUCUCUUGAAAAAAACCUGUACUUGCAUUCAUUAUUCCUUUAACCCAAGAAUAAAAACUUAUUCUUUUACCUUCAUCUAAUGUAAAAACUGUCAAACUAUUUAUUUCCAUCUUAUCAUAUCCAAUAAAACUAUUUCUGUAUAAAUGUUCAUGUCCUUCUGAAAUCUUGUUUGUAAUACUUGGAGGAGCCUUAUAUUCAUCUAUUCUUGAAUUAUAAUUGUAAAUGCAUUUACCUCCUUUAUGUAUAAACACUUUUCUUUCCUUUAUAUUAUUAUUCUCUAUUCCCUCUCCUUGUUCAAAAGGUCUUACAAUACCAAUCACAGAAAUACCAUUCACAUCUUUAAAUGAAAAUUCUGAUUCAAAUAUUGAAAAAUCACUAUUGUAAAUCCAUGGAAAUAAUAUAUUACUUGAAGAUCUAUCAGAAAUUGAUGAUAAUUCCAAAAUUAAUAAUCCAUUCGAAUCUUCUCCAUACUUUUCAAAUUCUGGUAUUGUUUUACAUUUUAAUUGACCAUAAGAUAAAGAACUGUAAAACCUAUCUCUUAUACAAAAGUGAUAUAGCUCUAAUAUAGAAUUUAUCUGUUCUUCACUUAAUUUCAAUAACUUCUUCUCUGCUAUGCUUGAAUCUAAACCAUUCUUACCUAUUUUAUUCUUUCUCUCUACCAUCCAAACUUUAAUACUUAACAUUUGGUCUUCAAAAUUACUAUAAGUAUCUC